CCCGAGGGACCGCCCUGCCCUAAGGGGAAAGCGUUGCGCCUGUGGUCAUGGCCGGGAGACCGGGUCAGUCUCCUCCUCAGAGCCCUCAGCCCUCCCCCAGCCCACUCCCCGAAACAGCCAGGAGUCCAGGGUGCCAGGGUGCAGCGGCCGAGGCCCUGCACGGAGCCCGGUGCCCUUCUCGUGCCCCCUCGCGUUCCGGGGCCGCCUGUUCCUGCGCAUCCCAAACGCCAGCGCUGCCCACCCCCGCUCAGUCCCAAGCACCCCGCAGAAGCAGGCAGGUGCCCACGGUUACUGAAGGCUCGGUGACAGCAGUGAUUUAAAGGAGAGGGAACUGCGCGCUGUGGGAGGGUCUCCACGCCCCUGACUGGCAAAAUAUCCCCCUUGGAGGAGACUGGGCAAAGCGCAUGAGACCCCCCUCUCU
rnacentral:lncRNA from 1 species